AGGGCCUUAGCUUAAUAAAAGUGUUUGAUUUGCAGUCAUAAGAUGCGAGUUUAAAUCUUGCAGGUCUUA
rnacentral:tRNA from 2 species